GAUGAACGCUGGCGGCGUGCCUAAUACAUGCAAGUCGAGCGAAUGGAUUAAGAGCUUGCUCUUACGAAGUUAGCGGCGGACGGGUGAGUAACACGUGGGUAACCUGCCCAUAAGACUGGGAUAACUCCGGGAAACCGGGGCUAAUACCGGAUAACAUUUUGAACCGCAUGGUUCGAAAUUGAAAGGCGGCUUCGGCUGUCGCUUAUGGAUGGACCCGGGUCGCAUUAGCUAGUUGGUGAGGUAACGGCUCACCAAGGCAACGAUGCGUAGCCGACCUGAGAGGGUGAUCGGCCACACUGGGACUGAGACACGGCCCAGACUCCUACGGGAGGCAGCAGUAGGGAAUCUUCCGCAAUGGACGAAAGUCUGACGGAGCAACGCCGCGUGAGUGAUGAAGGCUUUCGGGUCGUAAAACUCUGUUGUUAGGGAAGAACAAGUGCUAGUUGAAUAAGCUGGCACCUUGACGGUACCUAACCAGAAAGCCACGGCUAACUACGUGCCAGCCGCCGCCGUAA
rnacentral:rRNA from 1 species